AGUGAACGCUGGCGGUAGGCCUAACACAUGCAAGUCGAACGGCAGCACAGUAAGAGCUUGCUCUUACGGGUGGCGAGUGGCGGACGGGUGAGGAAUACAUCGGAAUCUACUUUUUCGGGGGGGAUAACGUAGGGAAACUUACGCUAAUACCGCAUACGACCUACGGGUGAAAGCAGGGGAUCUUCGGACCUUGCGCGAUUGAAUGAGCCGAUGUCGGAUUAGCUAGUUGGCGGGGUAAAGGCCCACCAAGGCGACGAUCCGUAGCUGGUCUGAGAGGAUGAUCAGCCACACUGGAACUGAGACACGGUCCAGACUCCUACGGGAGGCAGCAGUGGGGAAUAUUGGACAAUGGGCGCAAGCCUGGUCCAGCCAUACCGCGUGGGUGAAGAAGGCCUUCGGGUUGUAAAGCCCUUUUGUUGGGAAAGAAAAGCAGCAGGUUAAUACCCCGCUGUUCUGACGGUACCCAAAGAAUAAGCACCGGCUAACUUCGUG
rnacentral:rRNA from 1 species